rnacentral:rRNA from 1 species
UCGAACGAGAAGCAGGCAGUUGAUCUCUUCGGAGUGAUCCGGCCUGUGGACAGUGGCGUACGGGUGAGUAACGCGUGGGUAACCUGCCUCCAAGACGGGGACAACACAGGGAAACUUGUGCUAAUCCCCGAUAGCCUACCGGCACAGAGGUGCCGGCUAGUAAAGGCUUCGGCCGCUUGGAGAUGGGCCCACGUCUCAUUAGCUAGUUGGUGAGGUAACGGCUCACCAAGGCGACAAUGGGUAGCCGGUCUGAGAGGAUGGUCGGCCACACUGGAGCUGAGAAUGAUCCAGACUCCUACGGGAGUUAGCAUCAGGGAAUCUUGCACAAUGAGCGAAAGCUUGAUGCAGCGACGCCGCGUGUGUGAUGAAGGCCCUAGGGUCGUAAAGCACUGUCAGGAGGGAUGAAUGCCACGCCUAUGGCGUGGAGCGACACUACCUCCAGAGGAAGCCCCGGCUAACUACGUGCCAGCAGCCGCGGUAAAACGUAGGGGGCCAGCGUUGUCCGGAAUUACUGGGC